GACGAACGCUGGCGGCGUGCCUAAUACAUGCAAGUUGAGCGAUGAAGAUUGGUGCUUGCACCAAUUUGAAGAGCAGCGAACGGGUGAGUAACGCGUGGGGAAUCUGCCUUUGAGCGGGGGACAACAUUUGGAAACGAAUGCUAAUACCGCAUAACAACUUUAAACAUAAGUUUUAAGUUUGAAAGAUGCAAUUGCAUCACUCAAAGAUGAUCCCGCGUUGUAUUAGCUAGUUGGUGAGGUAAAGGCUCACCAAGGCGAUGAUACAUAGCCGACCUGAGAGGGUGAUCGGCCACAUUGGGCCUGAGACACGGCCCAAACUCCUACGGGAGGCAGCAGUAGGGAAUCUUCGGCAAUGGACGAAAGUCUGACCGAGCAACGCCGCGUGAGUGAAGAAGGUUUUCGGAUCGUAAAACUCUGUUGGUAGAGAAGAACGUUGGUGAGAGUGGAAAGCUCAUCAAGUGACGGUAACUACCCAGAAAGGGACGGCUAACUACGUG
rnacentral:rRNA from 1 species